rnacentral:pre_miRNA from 14 species
UAAUUGUGAAUUGAGUGAAUUUGAUUUUGUGACCGUUAUUACGGUCAUUUUCCAUUUAUUCAUAUUUUGACCGUAAUUCCGACCACAACAUCUUAUUCGCUCGCAAUUUUU